GACGAACGCUGGCGGCGUGCCUAAUACAUGCAAGUCGAACGCUUCUUUCCUCCCGAGUGCUUGCACUCAAUUGGAAAGAGGAGUGGCGGACGGGUGAGUAACACGUGGGUAACCUACCCAUCAGAGGGGGAUAACACUUGGAAACAGGUGCUAAUACCGCCUAACAGUUUAUGCCGCAUGGCAUAAGAGUGAAAGGCGCUUUCGGGUGUCGCUGAUGGAUGGACCCGCGGUGCAUUAGCUAGUUGGUGAGGUAACGGCUCACCAAGGCCACGAUGCAUAGCCGACCUGAGAGGGUGAUCGGCCACACUGGGACUGAGACACGGCCCAGACUCCUACGGGAGGCAGCAGUAGGGAAUCUUCGGCAAUGGACGAAAGUCUGACCGAGCAACGCCGCGUGAGUGAAGAAGGUUUUCGGAUCGUAAAACUCUGUUGUUAGAGAAGAACAAGGACGUUAGUAACUGAACGUCCCCUGACGGUAUCGAACCAGAAAGCCACGGCUAACUACGU
rnacentral:rRNA from 1 species